GUUGAACGCUGGCGGCGUGCCUAAUACAUGCAAGUCGAGCGAACAGACGAGGAGCUUGCUCCUCUGACGUUAGCGGCGGACGGGUGAGUAACACGUGGAUAACCUACCUAUAAGACUGGGAUAACUUCGGGAAACCGGAGCUAAUACCGGAUAAUAUAUUGAACCGCAUGGUUCAAUAGUGAAAGACGGUUUUGCUGUCACUUAUAGAUGGAUCCGCGCCGCAUUAGCUAGUUGGUAAGGUAACGGCUUACCAAGGCAACGAUGCGUAGCCGACCUGAGAGGGUGAUCGGCCACACUGGAACUGAGACACGGUCCAGACUCCUACGGGAGGCAGCAGUAGGGAAUCUUCCGCAAUGGGCGAAAGCCUGACGGAGCAACGCCGCGUGAGUGAUGAAGGUCUUCGGAUCGUAAAUCUCUGUUAUUAGGGAAGAACAAAUGUGUAAGUAACUAUGCACGUCUUGACGGUACCUAAUCAGAAAGCCACGGCUAACUACGUG
rnacentral:rRNA from 1 species